AAUCUCUUAUGUCAAGAAUGCUCU
rnacentral:snRNA from 1 species